GAGCCCAGAGUUGGAUUCUGAGACACGAAUCCAGGCCCUACGGGGCGCAGCAGUCGCGAAAACUUCACAAUGGGCGAAAGCCCGAUGAGGGAAUUCCUAGUGCUAGCACUUUUGUGUUAGCUUUUCUUCAGCGUAGAUAACUGAAGGAAUAAGGGCUGGGUAAGACGGGUGCCAGCCGCCGCGGUAAUACCCGCAGCCCGAGUGGUGGUCGAUUUUAUUGAGUCUAAAACGUUCGUAGCCGGUCUGAUAGAUCCUUGGGUAAAUCGGGUUGCUUAACAGUCCGAAGUCCGAGGAGACCGUCAGGCUUGGGAUCGGGAGAGGUAAGAGGUACUUCAGGGGUAGGGGUAAAAUCCUGUAAUCCUUGGAGGACCACCGGUGGCGAAGGCGUCUUACUAGAACGAAUCCGACGGUGAGGGACGAAGCCCUAGGUCGCAAACGGGAUUAGAUACCCCGGUAGUCUAGGGUGUAAACGCUGCAGACUUGGUGUUGGGGGCCCUACGGGGGCAUUCAGUGCCGGAGAGAAGUUGUUAAGUCUGCUACUUGGGGAGUACGUCCGCAAGGAUGAAACUUAAAGGAAUUGGCGGGGGAGCACCGCAACGGGAGGAGCGUGCGGUUUAAUUGGAUUCAACACCGGAAAACUCACCAAGGGAGACCAUCACAUGAAAGCCAGGCUAAUGACUUUGCUCGAUUCUUGGAGAAGUGGUGCAUGGCCAUCGUCAGUUCGUACUGUAAAGCGUUCUCUUAAGUGAGAUAACGAACAAGACCCUCACUUAUAAUUGCUAACUUGAUCUCCGGAUCAGGUGCACAUUAUCGGGACCGCUGGCGCUAAGUCAGAGGAAGGAGAGGUCAACGGUAGGUCAGUAUGCCCUGAAUCUCUUGGGCUACACGCGCGCUACAAAGGGCGGGACAAUGAGUUCCGACACCGAAAGGUGAAGGUAAUCUCGAAACCCGUCCGUAGUUCGGACUGAGGGUUGUAACUCACCCUCACGAAGCUGGAUUCCGUAGUAAUCGCGAAUCAACAACUCGCGGUGAAUAUGCCCCUGCUCCUUGCACACACCGCCCGUCAAACCACCCGAGUCGGGUUUCAGUGAGGCUGCCUUUUUUGGGGUAUUCGAGCUGAGAUUCAGCAAGGGAGGUUAAGUCGUAACAAGGUAUCUGUA
rnacentral:rRNA from 1 species